rnacentral:rRNA from 1 species
AUUGAACGCUGGCGGCACGCCUAACACAUGCAAGUCGAGCGGCAGCAUAGUAAGUAGCAAUACUUACUGAUGGCAAGCGGCGGACGGGUGAGGAAUACGUAGGAACCUACCCUCAAGCGGGGGACAACCAAGGGAAACUUUGGCUAAUACCGCAUAAUCUCGAGAGAGAAAAGCUACCCGCAAGGGCGGCACUUGAGGAG